UACAGAGGGGGCAAGCGUUGUUCGGAAUUACUGGGCGUAAAGGGCGCGUAGGCGGCCUGCUAAGUCGAACGUGAAAUCCCCGGGCUCAACCCGGGAACUGCGUCCGAUACUGGUGGGCUUGAAUCCGGGAGAGGGAUGUGGAAUUCCAGGUGUAGCGGUGAAAUGCGUAGAUAUCUGGAGGAACACCGGUGGCGAAGGCGACAUCCUGGACCGGUAUUGACGCUGAGGCGCGAAAGCCGGGGGAGCAAACGGG
rnacentral:rRNA from 1 species